rnacentral:tRNA from 1 species
UGGGGCGUAGCCAAGUGGUAAGGCAACGGGUUUUGGUCCCGUUAGGCGAGGGUUCGAAUCCUUCCGUCCCAA